rnacentral:rRNA from 1 species
CCUACGGGCGGCAGCAGUAGGGAAUCUUCCACAAUGGGCGAAAGCCUGAUGCAGCAACGCCGCGUGGGUGAAGAAGGUCUUCGGAUCGUAAAACCCUGUUGUUAGAGAAGAAAGUGCGUGAGAGUAACUGUUCACGUUUCGACGGUAUCUACCCAGAAAGCCACGGCUAACUACGUGCCAGCAGCCGCGGGAAUACGUAGGUGGCAUGCGUUAUCCGGAUUUAUUGGGCGUAAAGGGAACGCAGGCGGUCUUUUAAGUCUGAUGUGAAAGCCUUCGGCUUAACCGGAGUGGUGCAUUGGAAACUGGGGGACUUGAGUGCAGAAGAGGAGGGUGGAACUCCAUGUGUAGCGGUGAAAUGCGUAGAUAUAUGGAAGAACACCAGUGGCGAAGGCGGCUCUCUGGUCUGUAACUGACGCUGAGGUUCGAAAGCGUGGGUAGCAAACAGGAUUAGAUACCCGUGUAGUC